GCUGUGCUUGGAGUAUCCAUCGCUUUGAUUGCAGAAGAAACCCAACAUCAGAUAUUAAACUGUUAAAUAACGGCAUCAACGUAAAAUUGGGCAGAAGUAACGAACCAUUGGAAUCACCAAUUUAUGAGUAGAAGUAUUGAUAGUCCAUUAGUUUAUUUUUCAAAUAACUGACAUUUAAAUCCUUCUACAACUGUAUCAGCAGCUGAAGUAAAUUCACUACUAAAUGUUCUUUUGAUUGCCCAUUUAUCUAAUUCCUCACUAGUUACUAAAUUACCAAAUAAUUGCCCCUUGUGAUUAAAUUAUCGAUUAAAAUUCUCCUCCAGAACCCUAGUACUUCAAGGUCACUACAAACAAAGAGUACAUCAAUUUAAACUAUUCAGUUAUCCAAAUUCCAAAUCAUGUGUUUCUUAAGUAUCUAGUUCACAAAGAAGUUGGCAUGUGCACUAUGAAGAGCAAUCAUUAUUCAGAAUACAUAUUUACCAAAGCAAAUUUCACAAGUAUUUAUGUCUUUGAAUAUUGAUGACUAGAUGAUAGAAGUUUUUCUUCUAUUUAGCACAAAUAUCAAAUGAGUAAUCAAGAUGAAUACCUAAGCUGGCAUUGGACGCUGCAGAAGUUAGAGGUGCACUAGAAUUUAUAGGAGGAAGUGAAGC
rnacentral:misc_RNA from 1 species